rnacentral:rRNA from 1 species
GACGAACGCUGGCGGCGUGCUUAACACAUGCAAGUCGAACGGAAAGGCCCUGCUUUUGUGGGGUUCUCGAUUGGCGAACGGGUGAGUAACACGUGAGUAACCUGCCCUUGACUUUGGGAUAACUUCAGGAAACUGGGGCUAAUACCGGAUAGGAGCUCCUGCUGCAUGGUGGGGGUUGGAAAGUUUCGGCGGUUGGGGAUGGACUCGCGGCUUAUCAGCUUGUUGGUGGGGUAGUGGCGUACCAAGGCUUUGACGGGUAGCCGGCCUGAGAGGGUGACCGGCCACAUUGGGACUGAGAUACGGCCCAGACUCCUACGGGAGGCAGCAGUGGGGAAUAUUGCACAAUGGGCGGAAGCCUGAUGCAGCAACGCCGCGUGCGGGAUGACGGCCUUCGGGUUGUAAACAGCUUUCGCCUGUGACGAAGAGUGAGUGACGGUAAUGGGUAAAGAAGCACCGGCUAACUACGUG